GGAAGUCCUAGGAGCUGCAGCCAGCUGGAAGGACAUUCAGGUACCCGGGUAGGCUCCUCCCUGCGACAGACCUUCAGCUUCCUCUCGGGCAUGACCGGAAAGGCCAAGACCCGGGAAAAGGAGAAGAUGAAGGAAGCCAAGGAUGCCCGCUAUACCAAUGGGCACCUCUUCACCACCAUUUCAGUUUCAGGCAUGACCAUGUGCUAUGCCUGUAACAAGAGCAUCACAGCCAAGGAAGCCCUCAUCUGCCCAAGUAAGUUGUUUGGACCCUGAGAGUCACCCAGACUCGGUGCCCACUGACCCUGAUCUUUUCAUCUGUUUUUUCUGCCUGGAUCCAUGAGGGUCACUCUUCUCUCUGAUCCCCAGCUGGGCCCAAAUGCCAGGGCCAGUUGCUUGAUCCCUUGCUCCCUGUCCUCACUCUGAGGGGUGGUGGCUGUUGGAAUAUGGCAUAAGCCGGACUAUCUGGGAAUGUGGGGGAGGGGAGGCUGUGCUGGCUCCUCUUGCAGCUGUCAUCCACCAGGCACCCCCCUUGCUCCCCGAACAGCUGCUAAGGGUUAGGGGAACUGAUUGGAGAAGGAGCAGGAAUGUUGUAUGUGUGGAGGGGGUGGGGUGGGGGGUGACAGAGGAACUGGGUGGAAAGCUGCCAGCCUUGCAGCUGGCUCUGCCUGUCUUCCUGCGCAGAGCUGGGCAUUCAGGACUUCACAGUCCCCUUGCCCCUUUCUUUCUAUUGACUAUGGGUGGAGCCUGAAAUCUCUGCUGUUUCAAGCAGAAGAUGUGAUUAGGACCCUUCAUCUCAAAUUUCUAGUGAGAAAGAGGGAAUGUAGCAGGGAUGUGUGUGUUGAGGGGCAGGGGUUAGAAUUCCUGCCCUUCAUCCACAUCUGAGUGUAGUCCUGUCUUUAGGGAGUAUAAGCCAGGAAUUCUUUCCUUCCCCAGUACACAGAGGGCUCCUGCUGCCCCCUCUCCCUCAAUUCCUCCUGAAGUUAUGGCAGAGAUGCCUCUGAUUAGAGCAGGAUUGAAGGUAUUGUGACCUGCUACUGAAUAGCGGACAAAAGCUCUAGCCUGUAAAUCCCUAUGAAACUUGGGGAAGGAACCCCCAGAAAGGACCAGUGAUGGGCAACCCGCUCGGGUCCCCUUCUACGCUGUGGGAGCUUUGUCAUUUUGCUCUUCACAAUAAAGCUUGCUACCGCUC
rnacentral:lncRNA from 1 species